rnacentral:RNase_MRP_RNA from 1 species
CGGAGCUUCACACAUAUUGUUUGAACCCUCCACUUGAGAAAGUGCCAGAAGGCGACUGGUUUUGUGGUAAGAAAAAAGGAAAGAA